rnacentral:rRNA from 1 species
UAGGUUAACGAGGCGAACCGGGGGAACUGAAACAUCUAAGUACCCCGAGGAAAAGAAAUCAACCGAGAUUCCCCCAGUAGCGGCGAGCGAACGGGGAGCAGCCCAGAGUCUGAAUCAGCUUGUGUGUUAGUGGAACGGUCUGGAAAGUCCGACGGUACAGGGUGAUAGUCCCGUACACCAAAAUGCACAGGUUGUGAACUCGAAGAGUAGGGCGGGACACGUGGUAUCCUGUCUGAAUAUGGGGGGACCAUCCUCCAAGGCUAAAUACUCCUGACUGACCGAUAGUGAACCAGUACCGUGAGGGAAAGGCGAAAAGAACCCCGGCGAGGGGAGUGAAAAAGAACCUGAAACCGUGUACGUACAAGCAGUGGGAGCACCUUCGGGUGUGACUGCGUACCUUUUGUAUAAUGGGUCAGCGACUUA